UACAGAGGGUGCGAGCGUUAAUCGGAAUUACUGGGCGUAAAGCGCACGUAGGUGGCGACGUAAGUCGGGUGUGAAAUCCCCGGGCUCAACCUGGGAACUGCCUUUGAUACUGCAAAUCUCGAGUCCGAUAGAGGUGGGUGGAAUUCCUAGUGUAGAGGUGAAAUUCGUAGAUAUUAGGAAGAACACCGGUGGCGAAGGCGGCCCACUGGAUCGGUACUGACGCUGAGGUGCGAAAGCGUGGGGAUCAAACAGG
rnacentral:rRNA from 1 species